GAGGUCCGACCUGCCCAGUGAUAUCAAUUCAACGGCCGCGGUAUACUGACCGCGCUAAGGUAGCGCAAUCACUUGUCUCUUAAAUCGAGACUAGUAUGAAAGGACCCACGAGAGUCUAACUGUCUCCUUUUUUUAAUCAGUGAAACUAAUCUCCCCGUGAAAAAGCGAGGAUCAUAAUAUAAGACGAGAAGACCCUAUGGAGCUUAAGAUAAAACAAUACUUCUUUCUUUACCCCCCCAUUUUCAGAAAAAAUACCCCUCCACAAAGCACUUUAUUGUUAAACUUCGGUUGGGGCGACCGCGGAGUAAAACCAACCCUCCACGCAAGUGGAAAUCCCCUCCACAACAAAGAGCUACAACUCUAUGAACCAAAAAUUGUUAAUUGACCCAAUGUUUGAUCAACGAAACAAGUUACCCUAGGGAUAACAGCGCAAUCUACUUUGAGAGUCCCUAUUGACAAGUAGGUUU
rnacentral:rRNA from 1 species